GGUCACGAAAAUUGAACGCCUCGAGAGUUGGACCAAGCAUAUGCUGACAGUCAAGGCCCAGAGUAUUGGUGUACACACGUUCUUCAUGGCGCAGUACGCUAUCAACGUGUUCGUUAAUGAUACGAUGACAAAGAUUGAAGAAGAGAUACCGUGGAAGAAAAAGAGUCCCUUCGAGUACUUCCUCAAUAUCAGUGCCUUCGUGGCGAAAGACUGGGCGAGUCCCAUGCGACAUCCUCUCAUAGAGCAAA